GGAAGACUUAAGAUGGCGGCGUUUGCACGGAGUGCAAUCACUGCGUCCUUACGGGGGUUGCAAGGCGUCCGAAGUAUGAGUCCACUAACAAAAGUCCAGAAACUCGCCAGUUAAUAGUAUUGUGUCUCUUCAAAAUAUCGGAGAAUAAUUUCUUUCUCGCUGAUCGCCUAACUUCUACUGACGAAGCUUGGAAGUUGCAGAAGACAUGAUGUAUUGAGUAAAAGGAACUUCGGUACACAGGCCUUUAGUGAUGUGGUGGUAAGAUGUAUGAUGGAGUUCGCUCUUGUUGCCCAGGCUGGAAUGCAAUGGCAUGACCUUGGCUCACUGCAACCUCUGCCUCCCCAGUUCAAGUGGUUCUCCUGCCUCAGCCUCCCGAGUAGCUGAGAUUACAGGUACUGGCUCCUGUAUCACCCAGCUCUGGAGUUGAAAGAGCUCUUCAUUCCUGAGUCUCCUGUACCACUGAGAAUAGAAAUACAAAAAAAAUUCUAAAACUUGUAUGGAACUACAAAAGACAUUAAAUAAUCAAAGUAAUCUUGAGCAACAAGGACACAGCUGGAGGCAUCACUCUACCUGAUUUUGUAAUCCAUUAUCAAAAAACUGUGGUACCAGCAUAAAAACAGAUUCACUGACCAGUGGAACAGGAAAGCCCAGACAUAACUCAUACAUUUCCAUCCAAUUGAUUUUUGACAAAAGUGGCACACAGAAUGGGGAGAGGACAAAUAAAUAAAUAAAUUGUUUUGAGAUAUCUGUAUAUCUAUAUGUGAAAUUGAACCAUUUUCUCAUAGCAUAUAGAAAAAUCAACUCAAAAUGGAUUAAAGCCUGAAAUGUUGCCUUUGAAACUGUAAAACUACUAGUAGAAAAUAUAGGGGAAAAGCUCUAUGAUGUUGUUCUGGGCAAUGAUUUCUUGGAUACAUCCUUAAAAGCAUGGGCAGCAAAAACAGCCAGACAACUAUCAGGGAACCUGCCCAGAUAGUCACAUAGGUUCUUUUCUAUUUUCCCUAAGCAUUGGCCGGGUUGAGAAAUAAAGGGACAGAGUACAAAAGAGAGAAAUUUUAAAGCUGGGCAUCCUGGGGAGACAUCACAUGUCGGUAGGUUC
rnacentral:lncRNA from 1 species